rnacentral:lncRNA from 1 species
CUUCACAACUGAUUAUCCAUUCUCCAAUGUCUCAAAUUUAGAUACUUAUAUGUUUCAAAGAGUUAAAGAGUAUCUAAAUGAUAGAUUACCUUCUUAAUCUUUAGACAAAUGUUUUAAAUGGAAUCUUUCUACCUAAAGUUUGGAAGCAGAAGGAAGGAAGCGCGCAUUUAUUAGCCACCAGCCGUCUUCGCUCACUGUGAGCGCCUGGCGAAUAUAAUCUCAUUUGAUCAAAUUGAGGUAGAUACUCUUCUCUCCGGGGACAGACGGAGCUCAGAUUUGCGGAGAAUCUCUCGGCCCCUUUCGAACUCACUCCACUGGCCAGAGAGCUGCGUCCGCCAUUCCACUCGAAAGCCUCAGAAGGGGUGAGCAAGGUUAAGAGAAGAGGGACGGGAAAGAAAAGCGAAAGCUUCGCGUCGGGCGAAGAGGCUUUGCAAGGAAGCGUCGGUGUCCUUAGGUGGAGCGCUUCCCGCCCUCAGGGAGCUUCCAUUCUAACUGGGGGUAAGGCUCGGAAUACGACAGGGCCCCGGACACAGAGGGUUCCUCGGACAAUGGGGUUCUGGAAGGCGUCACCCACGAGGCAGAGGAUUGUGAACUGACCCUGUGAUCACAAGUCAACGGAAAGCAAGGCUUUAUCAUGGUAAAGAACCCCUUAAAAGAUACCAACUGAGAACAAGACUACCCAAAGUCAACAGCCAGGUAAAGGCAAAAAGGUAAAAGGCCGGGGACAGAGCCGGGGUGGGAAGAAAGGAAAAAAGCCUGAAGUGGACAUCCUUCACCCAGCUACCAUGCUGAACCUGUAUUACAUCGCCCACAAUGUUGCUGACUGCCUACAAUUCCGUGGUUUCCGCUGGCCAGGGGCUGGCAAGAAAAAGAAAGGAAAGAAGAUAUAACAGUGGAUGGAUGGAUGGAUGCCUUUAUAGCAUAUCUUCAUAACCAUGAAUUGUAACUAUUAACAGAAAUGUACAGUGAAGGGAUACAACCAAAACAGCCACUGAAGCAGAUUAAACUUUAAUGAAAACACCUUGAACUGGAGAAUGACUAGAGCUCUUGGAGUUAAGGAUAAAGGAAUGGAAUUAUCACUUAACGCUUGUGCCCAAGGGAAACAUUAAAUUUCUUUUUUUUUUUCUUUUUUUUUUUUUUUUUUUUAGGAACUUAAGGCAAAAAUGUGUCUAAGUAGUUAUCAAACUGGGUGGUUGAUUUCAGAAUACUGUUUGGUUCUAAUCAUUCUUUGUUACAUGUCAGAAUUAAAUUUUGCUUGGUGAAUCUAGUUCUCUUGCACUCAUUUUCUGCUGAUAACAGUAAAUGUGAACCUCCUCAUCCCUGAAGAGAGAGGCAGGUGAUUAUCCAUAUGAAGUUGCGGCAUGCUGUGCCAUAAUAAUGUCCAUCUCUGCCUGCCCACCACCACCAUUUUGAGGGGGAAAUAAUUAAGAAAACUAUUUUGUCCGUUUAGUGUGCUCCUCCCCUCCCCCUGACUGUUUUCCUGAUUUGAAAUAACUACAACUGCCUGCAGAGACUCCUCUGAGGCUUUAAUAACAUCAGCAAAAUGUGCUUUGUGCUAGCCAGAGCAUAUAAAAGGAUAAAAACUGCAAGGCACUUGUCAGUCAUUUGAGUGAAUAAAGAAAUGAGCCGGCAUGGAGAUAGUGGAAAGAGCUCAGUAUUUGGUUCCAGAAGACCUGGCUUUGACUCCUGACUGCCACUUAUUGCCCAGGGGAUUCUGUACAAGCCAUUUCGCCUCUCUGGACCUCAGUUUCCACAUUUGUACAAUGUAGAGGUUGGACUAGAUCAGAAGUGUCAAACUCAAUUAGUUAAAAUGUAAUUGGGAAAUGUUUACCAAAAAAAAAAAAAAAAUACAAACAUGUUAAUUUGUGAUUUUCUAAGCCAUGAUGGGACUUACUGGAUUCUGUUUCUAUUUGAGUUUGACACAGCUGGACUAGAUGAUCUCUAUUAUACUAGAUAUAGCUUGUUUGUAUAUAUUAGUUUGCUGCUUGUCUCUUUAGAUUGUGAGCUCUCUGAGGGCAGGGACUCUCUUUUUUGCCUUUCUUUGUAUCCACAAUGUUUAGUACAAUGCCUAGCACAGAGGAGGCAAUUAAUAAAAGUUUAUUAACUGACUGGUCUAUU